CCUACGGGAGGCAGCAGUGGGGAAUAUUGCACAAUGGGGGAACCCCUGAUGCAGCGACGCCGCGUGAGUGAAGACGUAUUUCGGUAUGUAAAGCUCUAUCAGCAGGGAAGAAAAUGACGGUACCUGUUUACGAAGCGCCGGCUAACUACGUGCCAGCAGCCGCGGUCAUACGUAGGGGGCAAGCGUUAUCCGGAUUUACUGGGUGGAAAGGGAGCGUAGACGGGAGCACAAGGCUCGAGGGAAAUGCCGGGGCUUAACCCCGGAACUGCUUUGGAAACUGGGCAGCUAGAGUGCAGGAGAGGUAAGGGGAAUGCCUGGUGUAGCGGUGAAAUGCGUAGAUAUCAGGAGGAACACCAGUGGCGAAGGCGGCUUACGGGACUGUAACUGACGUUGAGGCUCGAAAGCGUGGGGAGCAAACAGGAUUAGAUACCCGAGUAGUC
rnacentral:rRNA from 1 species